GUAUGUGCAUGCAAGUGGAAAAUGAACUGCUACUGCUUCACAGCCCUCCCAGAAAUGGCACUUAAAGACAGGAAGGAAGCUUCCACUCUACCACUGGAAAGAACUUUGAGCAGGGCAUCUGGUCAUCCACUUUGAGAGUCACAGAGUGGCCUGUGGUGAGGGUAAAAACUGACUCUAAGAUAAAUGACUUAUCUGGUUCCUUAGAUGCUUGGAAGAAGGAUGAUUAGAUGAGGGAUAAAAAAAUCUCAGGAAAAAGCAGUGGGAUGGAGCUGUGGGACUGAGUACAACAUGUCAGAAUAUUUUCAUCAUGAAUCAGUGCUCACAAGAGAGCAUCCUUUAUGAAAGGAGAAUGAAAUAACAAAGUUGACAGGAUGACUUGGGCAACAAGCAUUUACUCUUAACCAAGUGCAUGCUCGUGCAGUGGGUUCUAGAACAGAGAAGCAAUGGUGGCAGAGAGACAGGCUAUAUGAGGGCCCAUACAGCUUGGGUUCCUCUCAUAGAGGCUGAUCAAUUGCUGCAACCCUUGGACAUCAAAUAUACCAGCAAUCCAGUACCAUCCCUCAAAGAGGACAACCUGUUGUUUACUUGUAAGGUGACUGCAUCAAGCUCUUCUACAUUGCAAUGGGCAAUAGUUCAUCCAGACUGUCAAUCAACUCUUGGUUUCUGCCCACACUGCCCAGUUAGCACUCCAAAGGCUCAGAGUGUCUGGUCUAAUACUCCAAAUCCCUCAUAAAUUUGUGUGAGAUCAAGAGCUACACUUUAUGGCAAUGAGUGUUCAGCAGUGGCAACAGCCAUGGGAUUUAUUUAUUAUUACCACCAUAGUCUAGAUCAUCCAGCAGUUGCUGACUUCAGAGUUGGAAAGUCUUCUUGAGGGAUCUAAAGAAGCUUCACCUUGAAGACACCCAGCAAGGAUGGAGAGUUCUUCAAGAUGCAGCACAUACUGGACAACAUACUGGCACAUGCAGCACAACAGACAUUGAUAGUGCUGUUUCCAGUAAGUAGAAGUUAAGUCUGAGAAUGUAAAGUGGAAGAAGAGGACCCACUUACCUUCAUUCCCAGUAACGCACUCCAGGGAAUCUGUGUUUCUCCACUCCUGCAACUUUAGGACCUGUAGUCUCUGGUGUUGAGAUGGUGGGUGACUCUAUCAGGAGAUAAAGAGAAAAUCCCAAUAAACUUAAAACUCUAACACCUGGUCACCAUGGGUUCCUCAAGCCAUUAAACAAUCAAAGAACAGUUACCAUGCCAGCAGGGGCAAUUGACCCUGUUCAUUAUGAGGAAAUAGCAUUCUGCUGGCUAUAGUGAGCAAGGACAAUAACUCAUUCUGAACUACAAACAACCCGUUAGCAAUGCCUCUACAAAUACAACAGUCGGAUCUUCUGUGCCACAUUCUUCCUGGUAUCCUGGUAUAUGCACCAUGAACAUCGUUCGAGAGUUCUUUGGUGAAAGUACUAUCAGAAACACAAGUGCAAAAACUCUGCUCACCGAAAUGAAGAAACUAUACAGAAAGGCCUCGCAUGAUUCCAAGUAUGCUUAUGGUACACUGGAGAUCAUCAACAAAAUGAAAAUAAACAGCUAAAAAUUCCUCCUAGAGUCCUCACCCACUCAG